rnacentral:misc_RNA from 1 species
GAUGAAGAACGUAGCGAAAUGCGAUACUUGGUGUGAAUUGCAGAAUCCCGUGAACCAUCGAGUCUUUGAACGCAAGUUGCGCCCGAAGCCACUAGGCCGAGGGCACGCCUGCCUGGGCGUCACACGCCGUUGCCCCCCCAUCUACUCCUUCGGGAUUGCGGGGGGGCGGAUGAUGGCCUCCCGUGCGCCUAGCCGCGCGGUUGGCAUAAAUACCAAGUCCUUGGCGACGCACGCCACGACAAUCGGUGGUUGCGAAACCUCGGUUGCCCGUCGUGUGCGUUCGUCGCGCAUCGAGGGCUCGAAAAAAUGCUCGGCUCCGGCUGGGCUUUCAACGCGACCCCAGGUCAGGCGGGGUUACCCGCUGAAUUUAAGCAUAUCAAUAACGGAGGA